rnacentral:lncRNA from 1 species
UGUUGUGCUGGGCGAAUCCCUUUCUUGUCUGGUUCAUUUGGACCCUCCAAAGCCCACAGGCUGGAACGGCUGAGUCAUCCAAACAAAAAAGGUGGCAGCCCAUCCCUCCCCCAGGAGCUCUACCCUGUCUCAAGUAGGUGCUACCCUGUUGCUGGUGGCUGGCUGGAAUUCCAAGCCAGUUGAUCUUAUCCUGUGAGGUCCCUUGGAAGUGGGGCCCACAGACUGACGCUGCUCUGCUUCCUGGAUUCAGCCCUCUUCCUAAGGUGCCGAUGGGAUAUGUGCCUGUUGGACAAGGCCCAACUUCUCCAACCUUGGAAUCAAGUUGGACACUGUUGCCCUCAUUUUCUGUCCCACACCAUUUUACCUCAAAGCAAUCAUUGAAAACCCAGCUUUGGAAAGAUAUGACAACUGUGAAAGGAAUAUACUGCAAUCUGAUGUUCGAACUGUGAACUUCCUCAAUCGAGUAGUUCCCAAGGUGUCCAAGAAGGGUCAGCUAUCAAUGUAUAUCCUCUGAAAACUGGAAAUAUUCCAUGGCACCCCUGUGAACUCACUGUGGCCCCUACAGUUUGAGAACCAUAGCCUUGUCUCAUAUUGCUUCUGAUACACAGAGUGCCAUGCUGAUUUGGGUGUAUUCUUUUCCUGUCUUUGUACUCUCCACAUAUAUUAUAAAAUGUGGACCAGAAGAAUUCUAUAUUUCCCUUUUUUUAAUUUGACAAUGUUAUGAGUGUAUUCCCAUGUCAAUAAAAAUUCUUUUAAAAAUUAUUUAUAUCUGAAUCAUAUACCAAAUUUACCAAUAUCGAAUUUAAUCUUCCUCCAGUCCUUGAAUUUUCCAGCUGUAUUUCAUUUUGCUAUUAUCUGUCAAUAUUCCUUAAAAUGGAUUUCUAGAAGCAGUAUUACCAAAUGAACUUCUUAAACAAUCUUGAUAACUAUUGUUAAAUUGCUUUUCAGAAAUAAUGCACUAAUUUAUAUUCCAAUAAAAAAUACAUGGCAGUGGCUAUUUUGCCACAUUCUUAACUGCACUGGGUAUUUCCAUUAAUAAAAUAAAAUCUCCUC